rnacentral:lncRNA from 10 species
GAGAAAUUUGCGCCCAGAGGGUGCGGGGCCGCCCUGGCCGUCCCGCCCGUGGGCCCGGCGCCCUUCUCGGAGCCCAGCCAUUCCGCUAGACCCGAACUAGGACUGGUAGGAGGGGUGAUCGGCCCAACCUCAGGCCCCAGCCGCGGGCCGGGAAGGCUUCCCCACGGACGAGGGGCAAGCCCCUCGACGUCAGGGUGUCGUCUAUGUAGAGGGGAAUCUGCCUCCUCUCAAAGGGGAAUUCUUUCAGCGAGUCAAGCCCGUCUGAUUCGGGGCUGACUCAGGGCAGAGGCCCAGAGAGGACCUGGAUAGGUUGCGAGAAGUCGAGAUCAGAGGGGGCGGAAGGCAGUGAGAAAAGGGAGACGAGCAUCGGGGGGUGAGAGACAAACUCAGGUCUGGCUCUUGGCCCUUGACGCCACUGAAUUCGCUUCCCACGGUGGGAAGAGGAGAAAAGGGCCCUGACACCGCGGCUCGCCAGGGGCCCGCUGCGUAGCUGCAUCCCGAUCCCGCUGAGGGGACAGCAAAUAGUGAAGUGCUGAUAGCUUGUGGUUGUCGUUACACUGGAAGGAAAUAGAAAACCGGACAGUGGUGUGUGUGUGUGCGUCUUGGCCAAAGGAACUUCUUGGGCUGGGUUAAUGUGAGCAGGUACUCCCUUGGGCGAAGUACUGGCACUGGCCAACGGCCUUUCCCUCUGGCCGUCUCCGAGGAAGCAGAGCUGCUGUGAAGACAGUUCCUCUCGCCACCGUGUGUUCAGUUCUGACCUUGAAGGUUUUGGAGGUCUGUUGUGAAGAUAUUUAGCCUAUGAAAGUCCUGGUGAUCUGAAGGACAGAUCAAUUUACUGCUCUAUUUCCUGGAGCUGUGAUACCUUUAAAAAAAGUAUUUUGGGUCGGGCAUGGUGGCUCACGCCUGUAAUCCCAGCACUUUGGGAGGCCGAGGUGGGUGGAUCACCUGAGGGUCAGGAGUUUGAGACCAGCCUGACCAAUAUGAUGAAACCCCCGUCUCUACUAAAAAUACAAAAAUUAGCCGGGCGUGGUGGCAUGUACCUGUAAUCCCAGCUACUAGGGAGGCUGAGACGGGACAAUCACUUGAACCCGGGAGGCGGAGGUUGCAGUGAGCCCAGAUCGCGCCAUUGCACUGCAGCCUGGGCAACAAGAGCGAAACUCCAUCUCAAAACAAAAUAAAGUAUUUUGGUUAUCACAUGGAGUCUUAGAGAUUCACAACAAAUAACCCAUAGUGCACCCUUAGCCAUGUUGACUUAGUACAUUGUGUGGUCAUUGUUAGGGUCGGUGACAUAAUAAACGAAGAACCAUUGUUCAUUCCCGAAGGUGUCAUUACCCGGCAAAUAUUUAUGUCUUCUGGGCCGGGGUCAUGGCUCACGCCGGUAAUCCCAGCACUUUAGGAGGCGAGGUGGGUGGAUUACUUGAGGUCACCGGGAGGCAGAGGUUGCAAUGAUCCGAGAUCGCGCCAUUGUGCUCCGGCCUGGGCGACGAGUGAAACUACGUCUCAAAAAAAAAUUUUUUUUAUGUCUUCUGGCCAUGUUAGCAGAGUAGAAGAGUGAGUAUUAGCUUGAAUCUAAUACGUAUGUAUGAUGUUCAUAUACAUAGCCAAAAUUUGGACAUUUUUAGAGAAUCUUGCGUUUUAUGUAAAAAACAAAACAAAAACCAGGACGGGGGCGGCGGCUAACACCUGUAAUCCCAAGACUUUGGGAGGCCAAGGCGGGCGGGUCACUUGAGGUCAGGAGUUCGAGACGAGCCUGGGCAACAUGGAGAAAACCUGUCUCUACUAAAAAUACAAAAAUCAGCUGGGCGUGGUGGCGAGCACUUUUAAUUCCAGCUACUCCGGAGGCUGAGGCAGAAGAAUCGCUUGAACCGGGAAGGCGGAAGUUGCAGUGAGCCAAGAUACUGUGGCCUUCAGUAUCUAGAGGUGCUCCUACAGUGGUACAUCAAUUAAUGUACCCACUUUAAACCUUUUUUUUUUUUUUGAGACGGAGUCUCACUCUGUCGCCCAGGCUGGAGUGCAGUGGCGCUAUCUCGGCUCACUGCAAGCUCCGCCUCCCGGGUUCAUGCCAUUCUCCUGCCUCAGCCUCCCGAGUAGCUGGGACUACAGGCGCCUGCCACCACGCCCAGCUAAUUUUUUGUGUUUUUAUUAGAGACGGGGUUUCAUCGUGUCAGCCAGGAUGGUCUUGAUCUCCUGACCUCUUGAUCCGCCCGCCUCGGCCUCCCAAAGUGCUGGGAUUACAGGCGUGAGCCAACGUGCCCAGCCUAAACCUUUUAGACUUCAUUAGGAUUCUGGUUGGUAAAGAACAUUAAAAAUGACAAGCUCAUUAUAUAGGUGCUAAUUUUAAUUACUUUGACUACUGAACACACGCCAGGUACUAACAAAGAAGGGAGUAUUCACCCUGGGGAUUUAAAUCUGUGAAAAGGUAUUAAAACAUAUAUAAAACAUAAUAAAAUGAAAUCCCAAAGGUCUCUUUCCAUCUGAGCUUACUUUCCCUAAUUUGGGUUUGUCUCUUAGGUCCACCGGGCAUACUUAGUAUCUUUGGACAAAUAGGAAUUCAAUGAAAACGUAUUCUUAAAGGCGAAAAAGGUGGAUUUGCUAGGUAAGUUGCUGUUUCUCAAGGAGGUAGCCUGGGUGCUAUAAAUCCAAUCCAAUCUAAUCUAAUCUAAUACCAUACAAUAUAAUACAAUCGAUACAAUAAAAUCAAUAUCCCAAGGAAAACGCUUAGAAAAUUAUUUCAUGGCAAAAUAAUUUUUCAAAGUUUUCACUGUGCAUCUUCCUGGUUUUAGAGUAGGCACUUAUUUUUAUUUUCACUAUUGCUCUAUUUUUAGCCAUAACCACCAGUACUGCAGCAAAUACUUCUUGAGAAUUAUCCUAUGUACUUUAAAAUGAAAAGUAUCUGCUUUUAGAGAGCAAACCUCUAAUUGACGAAAUAUAUAAUUGCUACAUUAAAAGACAGUUGUCUGUUGCCUAUUAUUUCAUUUUGAUAUUGGCAUUGUGAAAUGCAAGUUCAAAGGAUUUGAAAGGCCAGGAAAGUAAAGGCAAUCAACAGCAGAACACAUUUUGCUGGUACCUAAUAAAGAACAGUUGGAGGGACGGAGCUGUAAUAAAUUAUCAGCAAACUACCAUUCUUUUUCUUAGGUCCAAAUGUGUGAGACGCUAGCCACAAAAUGCAGGCAUAAAUGAGAUCU